UUGGCCUUGACAUACUAAGAACUUUCCAGAGAUGGAUUGGUGCCUUCGGGAACUUAGAUACAGGUGCUGCAUGGCUGUCGUCAGCUCGUGUCGUGAGAUGUUGGGUUAACGUCCGCAACGAGCGCAACCUUUUCCUUAUUUGCCAGCGGGUAAUGCCGGGAACUUUAAGGAUACUGCCAGUGACAAACUGGAGGAAGGCGGGGACGACGUCAAGUCAUCAUGGCCCUUACGGCCAGGGCUACACACGUGCUACAAUGGUCGGUACAAAGGGUUGCUACCUCGCGAGAGGAUGCUAAUCUCAAAAAGCCGAUCGUAGUCCGGAUCGCAGUCUGCAACUCGACUGCGUGAAGUCGGAAUCGCUAGUAAUCGCGGAUCAGAAUGCCGCGGUGAAUACGUUCCCGGGCCUUGUACACACCGCCCGUCACACCAUGGGAGUUUGUUGCACCAGAAGUAGGUAGUCUAACCGCAAGGAGGACGCUUACCACGGUGUGGCCGAUGACUGGGGUGAAGUCGUAACAAGGUAGGCGUAGAUGA
rnacentral:rRNA from 1 species